UUGUAUAUUUAAUUAUUUAUUAUAUUAGAAUGAAUUAGCACCUCACUUCGCUUGGGCUAGCGCCUUUGCUUGCAUGUACACAUGCAUAUGCACCCCAUAUAUCUCUACCACAAAGUAAUAUAUAGUUCAACACCUAUUCUUGGUUCCAACUAAUGGCCAUUGAAUGAAAUAAUAAGGCGCAUUUCCUUGUUUAGUUGGUAAAGGGGCUGAUACUAGCAUUUAGGUGGCAAUAACCCUAAUGGAUGAACAGCCAUUACAUUUUCUGCCAUAAUGGGUCCCAAAACUUAAAUUUUCGUCCUCCCUCUCUCACUUGACGCUGCUUCACCCCUCAAGCAUUGCUGCCAUUGGCACACCACCUCUUUGAUGCAUUGCUCAUUCGCUGUUUCCCAUGCAGUACCAGUCUUGCUACUCCUUUUAAGUAGGUUCACAUGAUCAUGUAACCUGUAGGGCUAUCUCAUCAUGCCUAGAAAAGCUUCUUAGCAUGCCAUAAUGAGUACUUCUCUUAGCUUUAGACACAAUUCAUGCAUAAUUUGAUGAUAGAUGCCUACUUUGUCAAGAAUAUUUCUGAUGGGA
rnacentral:misc_RNA from 1 species